GAUGAACGCUGGCGGCGUGCCUAAUACAUGCAAGUCGAGCGAACAGACGGGGAGCUUGCUCCUCUGACGUUAGCGGCGGACGGGUGAGUAACACGUGGAUAACCUACCUAUAAGACUGGGAUAACUUCGGGAAACCGGAGCUAAUACCGGAUAAUAUAUUGAACCGCAUGGUUCAAUAGUGAAAGACGGUUUUGCUGUCACUUAUAGAUGGAUCCGCGCCGCAUUAGCUAGUUGGUAAGGUAACGGCUUACCAAGGCAACGAUGCGUAGCCGACCUGAGAGGGUGAUCGGCCGCACUGGAACUGAGACACGGUCCAGACUCCUACGGGAGGCAGCAGUAGGGAAUCUUCCGCAAUGGGCGAAAGCCUGACGGAGCAACGCCGCGUGAGUGAUGAAGGUCUUCGGAUCGUAAAACUCUGUUAUUAGGGAAGAACAAAUGUGUAAGUAACUAUGCACGUCUUGACGGUACCUAAUCAGAAAGCCACGGCUAACUACGUG
rnacentral:rRNA from 1 species